CUGUUCCCAUGCCGAACACAGAAGUUAAGCUCUUUAGCGCCGAUGGUAGUCGGACUUACGUUCCGCGAGAGUAGGACGGUGCCAGGU
rnacentral:rRNA from 1 species